ACCGAAGCCAUUGGCUCAGAUUAUGAUCGUUACUUGCGUAAUUGAGGACUGCAGAUAGGCUUUGAAUUAGGUUCACCAUUCAAACCAUUCAAUCAGCUGAUGGGUGUCUUUCCAUCUGCAAGUUCCCUUGCGCUACCUGAGCAUUAUAGGAAAUUGAUGAGCGACCCAACUUCACCGAUUAUUGAUUUUUAUCCGACU